rnacentral:rRNA from 1 species
UACGGAAGGCAGCAGUGGGGAAUAUUGCACAAUGGGCGAAAGCCUGAUGCAGCUAUGCCGCGUGUAUGAAGAAGGCCUUAGGGUUGUAAAGUACUUUCAUCGGGGAGGAAAAACAAAACUAAUAAUUUUAUUUCUUGACGUUACCCGAAAAAGAAGCACCGGCUAACUCCGUGCCAGCAGCCGCGGUAAUACGGAGGGUGCUAGCGUUAAUCAGAAUUACUGGGCGUAAAGAGCACGUAGGUGGUUUUUUUAAAGUCAGAUGUGAAAUCCCUGGGCUUAACCUAGGAACUGCAUUUUGAAACUGAAAUACUAGAGUAUCGUAGAGGGAGGUAGAAUUCUAGGUGUAGCGGUGAAAUGCGUAGAUAUCUGGAGGAAUACCUGUGGCGAAAGUGGCCUCCUAAACGAAAUACUGACACUGAGGUGCGAAAGCGUGGGGAGCAAACAGGGAUUAGAUACC